rnacentral:rRNA from 1 species
CGGGACGGGUGAGUAAUGUCGUGGGAAACUGCCUGAUGGAGGGGGGUAACUACUGGAAACGGUAGCUAAUACCGCAUAACGUCGCAAGACCAAAGAGGGGGACCUUCGGGCCUCUUGCCAUCGGAUGUGCCCAGAUGGGAUUAGCUAGUAGGUGGGGUAAAGGCUCACCUAGGCGACGAUCCCUAGCUGGUCUGAGAGGAUGACCAGCCACACUGGAACUGAGACACGGUCCAG